CGGGACGGGUGAGUAACGCGUGGGUAACCUGCCUCACACUGGGGGAUAACAGUUAGAAAUAGCUGCUAAUACCGCAUAAGCGCACAGUUCCGCAUGGAGCAGUGUGAAAAACUCCGGUGGUACAAGAUGGACCCGCGUCUGAUUAGAUAGUUGGUGAGGUAACGGCCCACCAAGGCGACGAUCCAUAGCCGACCUGAGAGGGUGAACGGCCACAUUGGGACUGAGACACGGCCCAA
rnacentral:rRNA from 1 species